CACCAUACUGGAAUUCUGUUGAAUCUCCAGAAAACUUUUGUCAUAUAUAUAUAUAACUGCAGAUAAAUCACAAUGGCAUCAACAAGGAUAAUACAUUUAAAUGUUAUUCUAGUUUGAUCCCCCCCCAAAAUUGGGUUAAUUUUUAAAAUUGCCUCCAAUGUCUUUUUCCAAACAUUGUAAUAAUCUGGUGUCUAGUUUCAGAGCUGAAUUAAAGUGAGUCAACAGUCAUCCUUCUAUUUUCUUAUCGGGAAUUAUUCUACAACCUACAUUCUUUUCUGGUUUUCUAAUCAGAAUUGUGUCUUCCACUUUUGGGUUUAUAAUAGAGAGGCUGAAUAGAAUAGAGUAGAAUAGGAUAGGAUAGGAUAGGAUAGGAUAGAAUAGAAUAGAAUAGAAUAGAAUAGAAUAGAAUAGAAUAGAAUAGAAUAGAAUAGAAUUCUUUAUUGGCCAAGUGUGAUUGGAUACAUAAGGAAUUUGUCCUGGUGCGUAUGCUCUCAGUGUACAUAAAAGAAAAGAUGGAUUCAUGAACUAACGUAUAUGGCAUUUGUGUGUGUGUGUGUGUGUGUGUGUGUGUGUGUGUGAAUGGAAUAAGUUUUUCCCAACUAUGCCAUUAUAAUGUUCUAUGCUUUAAUAUUGGCUGAAUCUCAGAACUAAAGGAGCUGUUGCCCUUUGUCUAUUGAUUUCCUAUCAGCCUCAGCCAAAAAGGCCAAUGGUUAGUAACACUAGUUCUUGAAGCUUCUGCAAAGAGAUAUUUUGAGGAAUUCCAUCUUUAUGAAACCCUGAUAAUCUGCCCUGCCUUUAUUUUAUGUUCUAAUGGGCUGUUGGGGAUAUAAUUACCUUUAAUGCAGACAGUUUCACAUAGUGGGGAAGGUGAUGGCCUAGCAAUCCGAACACUGAGUUCUAGUCUUUCCUUUGCAUGAAAGCCAGUUGAAUGAUUUUGGGCCUGUUUCUCUUUCUCAGCUCAACCCACCUCAGAUUUUUUGUCUGGAAAAUUAGGUAGCAGAAGUAUUAUGUACACCAUCCUGAGUUGUAUAAAAUAAAGAUGGAAUAUAAAUGUAGUAUAAUCUUUUGGAUUAUAAAUUUCUCUGAAUUUGCUGGGGUGGGGGUGGGGGGAUUUCAAAGAAAAAUCUAUAAACAGCGGACUCUGCAAUAUGGAUUUUGAAUUAAAGGAUACUUUCUCAAGCUAUGUUUCAUGACAAAGUAUUCAAAAGUCGGGUUUGCAAGUCUCAGUUCUGUAGAAGUUUUGUACUGCAAUGGUGACACCGUGUGUCUUGUGGAGAUGCAUGGAGGAUGUGAUUUCCCCCCGCCCCCUCAGGAAUUCACUUUAGAGUGCUUUCUCCAACAGAAGCCUUUCCUAUCUACUACAGGCCCAGAAA